rnacentral:rRNA from 1 species
UAUGAACGAUGGGGUGACGCAGGAGGGUAGUGACGCGGACUGAUGGAUGUCCGUCCAAGCAGUGAGGCUGAUGUGUAGGCAAAUCCGCACAUCGAUAAGGCUGGGCUGUGAUGGGGAGUGAAAAUUACAGUAGCGAAGGUCAUGAUCUCACACUGCCAAGAAAAGCCUCUAGUCAGGUGAAGGUGCCCGUACCGCAAACCGACACAGGUAGGCGAGAAGAGA